AGUGAACGCUGGCGGUAGGCCUAACACAUGCAAGUCGAACGGCAGCACAGUAAGAGCUUGCUCUUACGGGUGGCGAGUGGCGGACGGGUGAGGAAUACAUCGGAAUCUACUUUUUCGUGGGGGAUAACGUAGGGAAACUUACGCUAAUACCGCAUACGACCUACGGGUGAAAGCAGGGGAUCUUCGGACCUUGCGCGAUUGAAUGAGCCGAUGUCGGAUUGGCUAGUUGGCGGGGUAAAGGCCCACCAAGGCGCCGAUCCGUAGCUGGUCUGAGAGGAUGAUCGGCGACACUGGAACUGAGACACGGUCCAGACUCCUACGGGAGGCAGCAGUGGGGAAUAUUGGACAAUGGGCGCAAGCCUGAUCCAGCCAUACCGCGUGGGUGAAGAAGGCCUUCGGGUUGUAAAGCCCUUUUGUUGGGAAAGAAAAGCAGCAGGUUAAUACCCCGCUGUUCUGACGGUACCCAAAGAAUAAGCACCGGCUAACUUCGUG
rnacentral:rRNA from 1 species